UACGGGAGGCAGCAGUGGGGAAUAUUGCACAAUGGGCGAAAGCCUGAUGCAGCUAUGCCGCGUGUAUGAGGAAGGCCUUAGGGUUGUAAAGUACUUUCAUCGGGGAGGAAAAACAAAACUAAUAAUUUUAUUUCUUGACGUUACCCGAAAAAGAAGCACCGGCUAACUCCGUGCCAGCAGCCGCGGUAAUACGGAGGGUGCUAGCGUUAAUCAGAAUUACUGGGCGUAAAGAGCACGUAGGUGGUUUUUUUAAGUCAGAUGUGAAAUCCCUGGGCUUAACCUAGGAACUGCAUUUUGAAACUGAAAUACUAGAGUAUCGUAGAGGGAGGUAGAAUUCUAGGUGUAGCGGUGAAAUGCGUAGAUAUCUGGAGGAAUACCUGUGGCGAAAGCGGCCUCCUAAACGAAUACUGACACUGAGGUGCGAAAGCGUGGGGAGCAAACAGGGAUUAGAUACC
rnacentral:rRNA from 1 species